rnacentral:lncRNA from 1 species
UAGAGAAAAUUAAAUCUUUAUUCAUAAAAGUUGGGGUCUUACAUCAAUAAUAUAAUAAAUUAAACAUACAUAUCAAAAUAAAUUUUAUCUUCUUCAUUUGAGUUUCCAACCAAAAUAACUCCCCAAUGUUCAUCAUCUUCUUAUCUCCAAACAAAAUCAUCUAUAUACAUUAAAUUUUCAAAAACAAAAUUAUCCAUAAACCCAAAAUCACAGAUCUUUACUACACAAAAUCAUAGAUCUUUGUUACUCUUUAGACCCAAAGAAAGAUAAUGAUUCAGAUCACCAAGAUCUAAACCCCAAAGCCUUUAGCCCCAAAACUCCACCAUUCCAGAUCAUAACUACAAAGUGAAGAAACUGAACAGAGUACUACGGAUUAAGUGAUAAUUGUACAAAGUCACAAAAAAAAUUCAGAGUUUAUUAGUAUUAAAGAUAAUAAUUUUGCUAAGACUUACAAGGAUUUGGUGUUCACCAUAACAGUAGUGAAGAAGAACAUCGAAUAUCCUUGUCGUUUAAGGAAAAUAUCUUACGGGAAGCUCGGUUCGUGAAUGAACACCAAAGUUUGAUAGAUGCCCAUCAAUCGUUGUUCCUGUUCUGUGGAAGAAAAUCUCAAUUGGUGAACAAAAAGAGCUUGGGAGUUUCACAGAAAAGAACCCAUACAUUAUAUUCCUUAAUAUUAUUUGAUCUCAAUCUA